rnacentral:lncRNA from 1 species
UAAAAGAAGCCCUGACAUUCCAGUUGCUAUUGCUCCCAAAAGAAAAUGGUGAGCGGGUAACAGAAUUGCUUCUAACUUCCCUCUGCAAAAGGUCGUUGAACUCACUCAUCCUCAUCAACAAGCAUUAACACUGCAGAGUGUUUAUGAGCAGGCUGGGCACUAUUGCCAUUUGGGACUGGGACAUGGACCCAAGCAAUUGGGCCAUUUCAGAAGGGUCAUUGAGCUUGUACAAGCUAUAAUCCCAUUUGAAGUACAAAGAACCUGCCAGCAUGAUACAGGUUGAAUGGCAGACCUCAAACUUUGAUCACAGUGCCUUGGAAGUGGUAACAGCAGCUGUAAUCUAAGAAAUGCAGGACUGGGCCUGCUGACAGCUGUGUGCAGACAAGGCCAGGCAGGGGUCAGAUUAGUGAGCAGCAGAGAAAGGAGGCUGCAGCUGGGAGGUGUGGAGCUCCUGGAAAUGGAGCUUUCUCCAUUCCCCACGCAUUUUGUGUGCUAGCUAACGCGACAGAUUACUGUGUGCUGGUUGGGGGUAAGACACUGACUAAAACUAGAGUCCCCAUGUGUCAGGUGCUGAACAAAUGCCAGUCAGGAUAACUUCCUUCUCCAAACGACUUAAAGAGUGGCAGAGAGAUGAAGUGGCCUGACCUUGCUUAUCCUGCUCAGGUUAUUGGUUGCUGUCUGACCUAAGCUCUUAUAAAGUAACCCAAUACUCUGCCCCUCCAGAACAAACCCAGCAAAUGCUCCCUGCUGAGGAGCAGCAGUGAGUCCUUAGCAGGCUGCUCCCCAUCUGGAUAGGCUGUUAUUGGGGUGACUCAGGAGCUGCUUCACAAAAUGCAGGAAACGUUUCCCAUCUUUAUCCUGAUUGCAUCUGAACUAUUGGAUUUAUCUGGUGCCUCCAGAGACGAGCCCCACAUCAGUGGAGCACCAGGCCUGGGCUCUGCUGGGGGAGCCCAGCUGAGAGCCGAGAGCAGCCCGGUGCCCAGCGAGGAGCAACCCGUUACAGGAGCUGACUCGGAGGAGGUGACCUUCCACUUCCAGACUGCAGCAGUUGAUCCUACCAGUGAAAUGACAGCUGACUUCAUUGCUGUCCACACAGAGAGAGCUCCAAGAGCAACAGCCACGCUGCCUAAGGAGGUGGUUAGGAACUUGGAGGGGUCUGAUCGACUGCCUGCUUUAAAACUCCAGGAUGGAGAUGCAUUUCCUAACAAUCUCCUGAGUAAUGUAAGUGUCCCCUCCUCUGCACAAGGACCACAGGCCACCACCCAUCCAGAGCAGUCAGAGAGGUCAGUGCCAGGCAGAGCUCAAACUGUCCCCGAGGCUGCCCUCAGCCCGACCAGCAGUGCUGGGCUGCCCCAGCCCACUCCCACUGUGGGGGUGCACCAAGACUCUCGGGGGGUUGCAGCCAUCUCUCCCAUUCCUAUUCUCAAGCAGAGGGAGGUGCCAAGUCCUAAAAUUUCUCUUCUGACUUCAACGGUAAAUUUCCAUCCUCCAAGAAAAGAGACAGCAGCAUAUCCGUUUCCCACCAGUGUUAGGAUGGCUCUUGUAAAUGCAGGGGUGGGCCAGUUACCAGCACUAGCACCCCCCACUACAAAAAGGCCAAAGGAUGCAAGUCCCCAAGUCCAGCCUGACAGCAGAGCUGCUGUGACACCUGCAUACGUCAAGAGUGUAGAUGCUCAACUUACUACUUCUGUAAUCGCACAAAAGCCAGCUUCGGUCGGCCUUGAUGCAGCCUAUUUCAGAGUCAUGAAAACAACUGCUGUUCAGUUUCCCCCUCUUUUAUCUCUUAACCAAGAACCAGCAGGCAGUGAAGACAGAAACUCAGUAACAGCUGUAAUAAAGGGCUCUAGACACUCAACUGUGUUGCCUGCUCUUCAGCAGCUCCUGCAAGGCACUGGGCACUCUUCUUCAUUACCAAUGCAUCCUGAAGCUCUAGGUCAUGAUGAUUUGAUUCCACCUCCAUUUCAAGGGGCUGUCAAUGUAGCUGGUAGACCACAGCCUCUCCUGUUGUCCCGGACUCUCAACUGUACUAAGCACCAUGCUUCACAUGACACUAACAGGAGCACUCAGGAAAGCACAGUCCUAGUUUUACAAAGAGAUGCUGAUCACCAGAUGAUGACAAGUAAGCCUGAAAAAUCCACAUCCUCUGAGAGCCCCCGGGCUUCUUCUAAUUCACCUUCACUAGGGCAGUCACAAAUCGCCAUGGUAAACCUCUCCCAAACUACCAGAGAGCUAAAAGGAGCCACGUUUCCACCCCUUCCAAGUGCAUCUACCUUGGAGAAGGCAGCCCUUCCACCUUUAAGCACUCCUGCUGCUGUUCACGCAGCAAUUCCGCCACGAGCUACAUCUGUUCCUCCUUAUGCUGGAUUGCAGCCGAUGGGUGUCCCCACCUCUGCUGCGAGAGGACUCCACGUACUGACUUCAACUGCUGGUUCUGGGUCUCAGGUUCAAGGUGUUUCAGCCCAUCCUGGACCUCAGGAAGCAUUUGCUGCGAUGCCACAGAUGAGCACAGUGGAAGAUUCCAAGGGACAGAAAAGUCUUCCACAUCGGAUAGAUAAGGCUGGUUCUCCACUGACUCCACAAGCCAGCGUGGUCUCCAGCCCCUCUGGACUGCAUGAGGAGAACCAGAAAGCUUCUCGUGACAGCUCUGCCCCUUCAGCCUCCACGAUCCAGCAUGCUGGCAGCCUGGAAGCUUUUGUUGCCAGCUUGCACCCACCCCACGCACAGGAAAGCCAGUCCAGCACAACAACAGCACGUCCUGAGCCGGCAGUGCCCGUUGUUUCUCAGAUCCCAGCACAUCUGGCCCAAGCACUGCUGCAGCAGUUUGGUGCAUCGCAUGAUGCAGCUACCAAAAACCUCAGCAUUUUCAGAACUGAUCACCCCAAAAUGUUCCCAUCAUCUCUGUAUUUGUCCUUUCUGCUUAAGAAUACUGAUGGCAUGAUAUGCCUGCUUCCCAUGCAAGAGUCCCCUUUGCCUGCAAGUUUCCCUAAUAUCAGUGUUGGGACUCUGGUUUCUGUUCAGCAAAUCCUGGCAGCAUCAAAUUCUUCAUUAGUAGAUCUUGCAAACUUGCAAAAUGGAAGUCCUUCUAGCUUAAUUCUGGUUAAGCCUGUUUUUAUCCUUUUUCCCACGGACAGAGCAGACUUACAGAUGGUGCCCUCUCCUCAGGGUGAAGAUGACCACAGAAGUGCCCUCUUAUUCACAAACAAGCAAGGUCUGACCAUGGUUACCAAUGGACACAGCCGUGAUAUCCCAGAGAAAACCAGCUCCUCGUAUCCCACUAGUGAGUCUCUGAGACCUCAGACUGCUCUCUCCACUGCUCCUGACCAGCGAGCAGAGAAAGCAAAAGCAACUUCUCAGCCAGUGCUGACUACUGCGAGUUACGUGGCCAACCCUAGUUCCUUUCAAGCCACUGCCCCAGCAGCAGAUCACUUUCUGGACCUGCAGCUGAGGAUGAGCAUAGCAGCACAGGCUGCUCACCCGCAGGAGAUGCCUGAGGGGCUGCAGGCAGCGCCUGCCCCUUCCCUGGGGGCUGAGGAGCCUUCCCCUGGUGGUACGGCAACCAAGCCUCCUGCCCCCCCAAGGCAACCAGUACUGGUGCCUGCACAGCAUAGCCCUACAGCCCCCACAGGGUUUUUAAAAGCUGAAAAGCCUCUUUCUUCUUCUCUAACCCCUUUGCUGUCAGCAGUGGGGCUCACUGCUCUUCCGAUGCCAGCUCAGCCUCCAUUUACUGUCGCAGGGUCUGGGGAUCAGGGGCAGCGCGGUGUGGGACUGGCGCUACAGAGCACCACCCGUGGCCAGGGCUCAGUGAGCCCAUCUUCCUCUGCCCCAGUGCAGUGCACAGAGUGUUUGAGCUCAGCUGGAACUGUAAAAUAUCCAUUAAAGAUGUCCCCAAGCAUUGUGCCUUUGCCGUCCAUGUCACAAAGUCAGCCAAGCACCGAGUCACUCCAAAGGCUGCCGUCACAAGUUGCAUUUGUACCCAGCACCGUGUCGGCUUUCUCAGCAUUUCUAGCUGGAAAUGAUGGCAGAAGCUCAGCAGCGGACAGCACUGCUUCUUCUGGAGUCACUUUGCAUGCUAAAGCAGCAUCAGUCCCCCCCACCUCUAUAAAACCUGAUCUCACCACGCACUUGGAAUUUAUUACCAUCAUGCCCAAGCCCAUGGUCAGGAUGGAGACCCCAACAGCAGUACCAGCACGCACCAUGCAGUCAGCGAAGGUCAAAACAGCAGCUUCUGGGAAACUGCUGGUGACCAGCACCCCCCCAGAGAUGUACAGCACGUCCCCCGUGAGCCUGCCCUCACCGGUGUCUGUGCGAGUUCCCCUGCCAUCCGCUGCGAAACGUGACCAAAGCAGUCAAGCACCUUCUGCAUUGUCCUCACCAGCCAGUCUGGGAGAAAAUGGGAAACCAACCGAAGGCACAAGCCCAAGAAAACGGGGAUUCUUGGGAACCAGCACGUCCCUGCCGGCCGUGUUUAGCACAAAGGCAGAGCAGCCCCCUGCAGCAGCUCUUGGCAGCCAGACUGGUGUAGCUCCAGCACAGCCGUCUGCGGCUGCAGAGCCUGUGAUUGCUCUCGAGAGUGAGCCUAAAUUAACACAGACCACCUCGCCAUCUCCAUUAGCGGUGACUUCUCUCUCUGCAGCUAAGAAUGAUUAUAUCACCACUUCAGUUACCCCAAAAAAAGUGUUUUUCCUGCCAACAUCAGCUCUCCAAUCUGACCCAAAGGUGGUGUUUCCUACAAUGGCUGUAAUGAACAGCUCAGCUAAGGUCCCUGCAUCAGGGACAAAGAGUGAGGAUGUGUUUCUGGAAGGGGACACGGCCACUGCCAGCCAGGAGCUCAGCCAAGCAGCCACGUCCUCAGCACCUCAGGCCCGGGAGGAGAAGGUGCCCAGGGAAGCCCGCAUGGAGCAGGACGCUGCUGGGCAGCCCACGGGGCCAUCUACAGCAAAAUCACUUUCUGUACCUGCGAGUAAGGUUACCAGUGAGCCAGCUGCCUCCAAUAAAGCAGCUGAUGAUGAUGCUGAGACGCUCCUAACCAGAGACCUGAGACCACUGCCUCCUACCACAGAGAGCCCCUUGCGUCCUGCGGGGGCCAUGGCAGCACGCACAGCGGUGAGCGAUCCCCAGCUGGGUGCCACGGGCACGGAGGCCGAGGAGGAUGCCGAGGAGGAGGCCGGACCACACUGGGUGACCCACAGAGCCCCCACAGGCUCAGAACCUGCCCUUACACCCCUGGGUUCGGAGCUGAGUGACUCCCGGCAGAGGAGGGUUCUGCAGCAGGACGGUGCCGUUCUCAGCGGGAUCGCAGUUGUCAGCGAUGAGGCCUGCGGCUCUGGCAACUACACGGUGCAGAUGAGCCUGCGCCCUGUGGCAGAAGCGAGCCCGGAGCUGCAGGGCUCAGCGCUUCCCCAGGACACCUUCCUGGCCUCCCUGGCCAUGCGGAGCAGCAGCAGCCAGCCCGUGCUGCGGGUCCGCUCCUGCUGCGUGACACCCUCCAGCAGCCCGGGGGGCCCCGGCGCCGUGUGCUGCCUCCUCCCCAGGCUGCUACCUGAAUGCAGACACAUCCAGCUGCUGCAGAGCAGUGAGCCCAGAGCUGCCAGCUUCACCAUCCAGCUGUUCCAGAUGCUGAAUCACUCGGUGGCUUAUUUGCACUGCGAGCUCAGUGUGUGUCUGCACGGCAAACCGGGCUGUGAACAGGGCUGCAUUGACAGUGUGGAGCCGCUUCCCCAGCCAGGUGACAGGAACAGCCCUGGGCAGCUGCGCAACCUGAUCUCGUUUGGUCCAGUUCUGCGACUCAAGGACAGGUUUCUCUAUAAGCCUGUGCAAGGUCCCGAUUCUGCCGUGCUGGUGCCCAUUCUGCUGGGGUCCCUGACUGGCUUUGCUGUCCUGGGCAGUGCUUUCAUCAGCCUUUGGCUGCAUCACAGACAGAAAACCAAAAGCUCAGGUUGUCCACGGUUUGGAGAAAUCCGUGGCCUGUGAACUAGGAGCAGCUGACUUCUGCAGAUCCCACAGCACAGCUACAAUGAUCAGAAAAGCGACUGAUUCUGCAUUGCACACUGUAUUGCUUUGUAGAGCUUCUGCAGACCCAGGGCGCAAGCUCUCCAGCCUCUGCCUUAAGCGCAUCUCUCCUGCCUUUCUUCCCUUCAUUGUGAGCUGAUCCACAAGCUGCAGCAUAGAGAGGGCUGUAGGAGCAGCUCAGCUAAAAGGGAGAGCAGAGCUCACAAUGCCAUAUGUGCAAGCACCAGCACGCAGUCUGUUCACAGAAAUGGAAAAGUUGUCAGGGUGCAGGGAUCUACCUAAAAUAAAGCACUAGACUAGAGCCA